CAGGACUGUAGAACAGUUCUAAAUGACGUCACUGCAGUAAGGGCACUUUAGAAUUUAGAAGAAAUAAAUCACUUCCAAUUACUUUGCUAUAUAUUAAAUAGCAGAUUUUCUAUAUUUUUUACUGAUCAAACGACUUUUAUUACGUUACAUGUACAAAUAUCGAAGUGAAUAGAAGGUUAUCCAACUCAUCGGAGAAAUAUUUUUAUAAGAUUGCAUACGGAAACAUCAUUGUUUACGUUUCUUCGUUCCCCGUUUUUAACAGUCUCUUC
rnacentral:lncRNA from 1 species